AUUGAACGCUGGCGGCAGGCUUAACACAUGCAAGUCGAGCGAGCGGCGGACGGGUGAGUAAUGUCUGGGAAACUGCCUGAUGGAGGGGGAAAACCACUGGAAACGGUAGCUAAUACCGCAUACCAUCAGAUGUGCCAAGAUGGGUUUCGCUAGUGGGUGGGGUAACGGCUCACCAAGGCGACGAUCCCUAGCUGGUCAGAGAGGAUGAACAGCCACACUGGAACUGAGACACGGUCCAGACUCCUACGGGAGGCAGCAGUGGGGAAUAUUGCACAAUGGGCGCAAGCCUGAUGCAGCCAUGCCGCGUGUAUGAAGAAGGCCUUCGGGUUGUAAAGUACUUUCAGCGGGGAGGCGUUACCCGCAGAAGAAGCACCGGCUAACUCCGUGCCAGCAGCCGCGGUAAUUC
rnacentral:rRNA from 1 species